rnacentral:rRNA from 1 species
GACGAACGCUGGCGGCGUGCUUAACACAUGCAAGUCGAACGGAAAGGCCCUGCUUUUGUGUGGUGCUCGAGUGGCGAACGGGUGAGUAACACGUGAGUAACCUGCCCUUGACUUUGGGAUAACUUCUGGAAACUGGGGCUAAUACCGGAUAGGAGCUCCUGCUGCAUGUUGGGGGGUGGAAAGUUUCGGCGGUUGGGGAUGGACUCGCGGCUUAUCAGCUUGUUGGUGGGGUAGUGGCUUACCAAGGCUUUGACGGGUAGCCGGCCUGAGAGGGUGACCGGCCACACUGGGACUGAGAUACGGCCCAGACUCCUACGGGAGGCAGCAGUGGGGAAUAUUGCACAAUGGGCGGAAGCCUGAUGCAGCAACGCCGCGUGAGGGAUGACGGCCUUCGGGUUGUAAACCGCUUUUGGCUGGGAAGAAGCGUGAGUGACGGUAACGGGUGAAGAAGCGCCGGCUAACUACGUG